AGUGAACGCUGGCGGUAGGCCUAACACAUGCAAGUCGAACGGCAGCACAGUAAGAGCCUGCUCUUACGGGUGGCGAGUGGCGGACGGGUGAGGAAUACAUCGGAAUCUACUUUGUCGUGGGGGAUAACGUAGGGAAACUUACGCUAAUACCGCAUACGACCUACGGGUGAAAGCAGGGGAUCUUCGGACCUUGCGCGAUUGAAUGAGCCGAUGUCGGAUUAGCUAGUUGGCGGGGUAAAGGGCCACCAAGGCGACGAUCCGUAGCUGGUCUGAGAGGAUGAUCCGCCACACUGGCACUGAGACACGGUCCAGACUCCUACGGGAGGCAGCAGUGGGGAAUAUUGGACAAUGGGCGCAAGCCUGAUCCAGCCCUACCGCGUGGGUCAAGAAGGCCUUCGGGUUGUAAAGCCCUUUUGUUGGGAAAGAAAAGCAGCAGGUUAAUCCCCCGCUGUUCUGACGGUACCCAAAGAAUAAGCACCGGCUAACUUCGUG
rnacentral:rRNA from 1 species